rnacentral:misc_RNA from 1 species
GAUGAAGAACGUAGCGAAAUGCGAUAAGUAAUGUGAAUUGCAGAAUUCCGUGAAUCAUCGAAUCUUUGAACGCACAUUGCGCCCCCUGGUAUUCCGGGGGGCAUGCCUGUCCGAGCGUCAUUGCAACCCUCAAGCGCGGCUUGCGUGUUGGGCGCCGUCCCCCGUGGACGCGCCCGAAAGGCAGUGGCGGUACCGUGCUCCGGUGCCCGAGCGUAUGAGCUUAAAACCCGCUCUUGUGGCCCGGCCGGCGCUGGCCUCGACCCCCAACUUUACAAGGUUGACCUCGGAUCAGGUAGGGAUACCCGCUGAACUUAAGCAUAUCAAUAAGCGGAGGA